AUUUGGAGAGGAUGCUUUUGGCGCGGCGCCGUCCGAGUUCCUUGGAACAGGACGCCACAGAGGGUGAGAGCCCCGUACGGACGGACGCCUAGCCUCUACAAAGCUCCUUCGACGAGUCGAGUAGUUUGGGAAUGCUGCUCAAAAUGGGAGGUAAAUUUCUUCUAAAGCUAAAUACCGGCCAGAGACCGAUAGCGCACAAGUAGAGUGAUCGAAAGAUGAAAAGCACUUUGAAAAGAGGGUUAAAAAGUACGUGAAAUUGUUGAAAGGGAAGCGCCUGUGACCAGACUUGCGCCCCGCGGACCACCCGGCGUUCUCGCCGGUGCACUCCGCGGGGCGCAGGCCAGCAUCGGUUCUCCUAGGGGGACAAAGGCCGCGGGAACGUAGCUCCUUCGGGAGUGUUAUAGCCCGCGGCGGCAUGCCCCUGGGGGGACCGAGGACCGCGCUUCGGCAAGGAUGCUGGCGUAAUGGUCACCAGCGACCCGUCUUGAAACACGGACCAAGGAGUCAAGCAUUGGGGCGAGUGUAUGGGUGCCAAACCCGCACGCGAAAUGAAAGUAAACGCAGGUGAGAGCUUCGGCGCAUCAUCGACCGAUCCUGAUGUCUUCGGAUGGAUUUGAGUAAGAGCCUUACCGCUUGGACCCGAAAGAUGGUGAACUAUGCCUGAAUAGGGUGAAGCCAGAGGAAACUCUGGUGGAGG
rnacentral:rRNA from 1 species